CUUUCUUUCUUUCUUUCUUUCUUUCUUUCUUUCUUUCUUUCUUUCUUUCUUUCUGUUCUUCUUUCUUUCUUCCUCUCUUUCUCUCUUUCUUUACAUUUCCAUCUCUGUUCCAUUGACAACUCCUGUCAGGUGGUGAUGGAGCUAACUUUGUUCAAAAUGGUUAGCCAGCUGCCAGCACCAUUUGUUGAAAGAAUAUUUUCUUUACUUGCUAGUGCAAAUUAGCACCUUUGUCCUCCUGUAUUUAUAUUUAUAUUUGAAUAUGGUCUUUGCUUCUAAUUCUGUUCCUGUUAUGAGGAUUGUGCCUAUAUAAGACCUUGUGAGUUUAAUUAUCAUUUCAUAAUAAGUUUGGGUAUACAUUUUUGGACAGAUACCUCCCUAACAUUAUGCUUUUUGGAAUUUUUAUUGGCUAGCUGGCCAUCCAUAAGCACUUAUCCUUCCAGAUGGACAUUUGGGGUCAAGUUUCCAACAAAUGUUAUGUUUUGAUUUUUAUUAGAAUUACGUUACACUUAUGUUCUUUGGGUGAUAAUAGACACCCUUACAAUGUUGGGAAAAUGGCUCAUUUUACUUUACUUGUGUCGAAGUCGGGUUUUUUUGGUUCUUUGGUAGGAUUUGGUGGUUUGAGUCCUAUAAAUCCUUGACGCAUUUCUUGCCAAGUUAAUUCAAAGUUAUUUGUUGCCAUUGCAGACUGUGAUUAUACUCCCUUUCCUCCCCCAGCCUCUCAUCAUUCUGCGGCAUUAACGUUUACGGCUUUUAUAACUGGCUACCUCGCAGAGCUCUAACUCAUCUUAACAUUUUCUCUGCUGGUUCCUUUGGAUAAUACAGGAGGCUGCUCUUGAGCUCAACUGCCUGACUCCCCAUCCUGACUCACCAGCCGUCUGACCUCGAGCAAGGUAAUACUCAACCGGUGCCUCACUUUCUUCAUCUGUAAAAUAGAGAUCAUCAUGGUCCUUAAGUCAUAGGGGUUUUUAGAAAGAUUAAGUGAGCUGUUGCGAUGUUCUAGAACAGUGCUUGGAAUGAGCUGGCCAAGUGCCGAUUCGGUGAUCACUGUUGUCCCUCCGGUGAUUUGACCUGGUUGCCCCGUUGCUUGAUGUCUCUUCACAGUUGUUCCAGGUCUUUCCACCCCAACUUGUCUGUCACGGUGAUGUGAUCACUGCACAGUUCAAGCGCACUACCCAGUGAGAGGCAGAGCAAAGCCAUAGCAGGCUUGGAACACAAGCUGCCUUGCUCCCUACCAGACAGGUCCCCAUGCCUGAGGACAGUCCGUUUAAUUCGUAGCUCCAGGUCUGCCAUGGAAACGCUAGCCAUCUCUGUGUUUGGCAGCAUGGGAGAAACCAAGAGGAAAGUCUACCAUUUGGUCCCUUCCCUUAGGGAGUUUGCAAUCUAAUCUAAAAGACCAGAACACUCUGUCAAAUACAACCUGAGCCAGGACCCAUUCCCCGAGGGAAAUGCCAAAUUGUCCAGCCAGGGCGCUUAUAGAGUGACAUCCUUCCUCUCCGGCUCCCUCUCGGUUAUAACGUGAAUGAGAAUUUAGAAAAAAAGAAACGAAGGAGACAGGAUCAGGCCAAAUCCCAAUGUCUGACUCACCUGCUUCGCUCCUGGACCACACUUAACAAGAAAAAGGACAACCCUUUUUCACAUAGUACCAGCGGGGUAACCUGAGAACAUCCAUUUAGCGCAUCUGUCCCUGUGAAAAGGACCUUUCAGUGACACUGAGCUGAGUGUAUCCUGCUCUAUUUAUAGGCACUGUUUGUUUAAUUUGAGUCCGGUCUCUAAGAAUAAAUAAUGAACUCAUCCUGGGGACAAGCCAGAACCUACAACUCUGAGGCGACCCGUAAAUCCCUUAUUCCUUUCCUUCUGGUUCUAGAAGGGAGUUUGUAGUUCAAAAGUGAGCCACCUUUUGCUAGCUGGGUGGGGGUGGGCUUGACACCCAGGCAUGUUUGGAGAUUUGGUUUUAUGGAGGUUUUUCAUGAUGGGUUGGGGGGGAGAUUUUUUGGUAUUUGAUUUGGGGUUGGCGAUUGAAGAAUGAGGUCUUGGAAUCUCUGUCACCUCCGAAGGAGGGACAAAGACCAAAUAGCUUGAGCCCUUGGUUGGUUAAAUGUCAGAUGCAAAACUACCCAUUAGGACCCAGAUGUCCACUGCAGACCCCAAAAAUCAAAGUCAGAACCUCAACGUGCUGGUGACUCAGAAGAACCCACAUGUUCUUAAUGGAGACAAACUCCUCGAAGGUACCGCUGAGUCUGAAGGGGAUGACCCAAAUUAAACCAUUGGGUUUGAUUCAGCACAUUUGCAUACUAUGGCUCUCUGCCCCACCCCACCCCCCAUUCUCCCUUUCCAGGAAUUUAUCCUUAAGAAGGUAACCAGCUUCUUUGGGAAGGGAAAGAACAGUGUCCAUUCAUUGAUUUAUUCUUCCACCGUCUGCAGACUCUCUAUUCUGUGAUAGAUACUAUUCUAGGCAUGGGAGAUGCCUUGAUGGAGAGGACAGGGUGGUCAGCCAGUGACGAGGUCUGAUUCACUUUGAAAGAUCCAGCCUCUUUGCUGUCUUCCAGCUGAGUCAGGCCGGCUGUAACGUGCUUUCCCAGCAGACCCCGAGUUCCAUUCGCUUUUCCCCCCUCCCAUUCAAAAACUGUUUACGAGGCUCACUCUACAAGUUGGGCAAGGGGUUGGUUUACUUACACCACUGGACACGGUAGUGAGGUAAUGAGAUCAUCCCCGCCUUUCAGAAGUUUGGAGUCCAGUGGGGAAGAUGAGUCUUACUCAAAUUAUCACCUAAAUAUAGAUAUUAUUACAAAUGUUGUGGAGUCUAGGAGAACGAAGUUCAGAGUGUCUUGUGAGGGACUAACAGAGGAAUGAUGGAUCUGUUUGGGUGAGCGGAAAACCAUCAACAGCAGAAUACUUGAGAUGCUCCAGACGGCAUGCUGUCUGCGGAGUACAGGAACAACCGAGGUCUGUCUGCCGAUGUGCUUUUGAGUUCCCGUUCUCUGGGCUGAGCCAUCCACACUCACCGGAUCGUCCUGAGGACUGUCACAGACGAGCAGAUCUAGGUAGCCUCGAGGAGAGUUUGUGUCCAUCAAGAACAUGUGGGUUCUUCUGAGUCAUCAGCACGUUGAGUUUCUGACUUUGAUUUUUGGGGUCUACAGUGGACCAGGCGAGACAUUCUUCUUCGGGGACAUUCUUCUCUCUCUGCCUCAGUGGAGAAAGGAGGAAACAAUUCCACCCCACGCUGUUUCCGUGCUUUUACUUGUGAAUGGUGGUGUUGCCACCAUACUUAGACACCUGGAUGGACAGGUGGCCCCAGGUGCCUCUCUACAGUUUCAUGCCCUCAGAUGUUCACAUGCAUUGGCCUAGGAAAGGAGCCAUUGGUGCUACCCAGGUCCCGUUCCCUACUAAUUAGGGUGCGACUUUGAACGCAUCGCUCUGCUGCCAUGUUUUGGUAAGCACCAAGUUAAAGCCAGGACAAAUGUAACAAGUUGCCCUGCUCCAGAAACGUUUACAAGGUCAUUCAGAAAAGACUUCUCCUUCGUUGACCCAGCAAAUAUGUAUUGAGUCCCUCCACUAUGGCGGACACAGAAGGAGGAAUUACGAGGGACACACAUCAGUAGGACCAGCGCAGUCCCUGCUCUGUGGAGCUUACAGUCUAGCAAAGGGGGAGAGAUACUCAAGCCAUCAAGGAACACAGUAAUUUCAGAUGGUUUUUACGCCCCAGGUAGGUCAGAGAAGGCUUCCAAGAAGGUGUGAUGUUCAAGCAGAGUCCUGAAUGAUGAGAUGGGGCCAACUCUGAAAAGAUUUAAAGGAAUUCUAGAUCCUAGAAAAAGAGCAAGUGGAAAGGCUCUGUAGGAAUAAGGUGACUGAUUGGCUUGUCUCAGGAAUGAUCGAUAAGAAGCCUGGAAUGGCUGAAUGUGUGGUGAGUGAUAGGGAAGCCAGCGUGUAGAGUGUGAGUUUUAUUUUGAAUGCAGAGGAAGCUGGGGCACCUGGGUGGCUCAGUCAGUUAAACGUCCAACUUCGGCUCAGGUCAUGAUCUCACGGUCUGUGAGUUCGAGCCCCACGUCAGGCAGCUCGGAGCCUGGAGCCUGCUUCGGAUUCUGUGUCUCCCUCUCUCUGCCCCUCCCCCGCUCAUGCUCUGUCUCUCUUUCUGUCAAAAAUAAAUAAACAUUAAAAAAAAAAUUUUGAAUGCAGAGGAGGACUUUGGCAGGUAAACAGAUGACCCUUUAGCCUGUACCUCCCCGUCUACCUGGGGGAGAGUCUGUUGCCUUGGUGCAAUUUUGGGAACGAUGGACCCAGGAUUCGUAGAACUCAGAACCUCAGGUAAACGUACAGACAGAAAGAGAUGUUGAUGUUUGCCUCUUUCUGGAUAGGAAAGAACUGUCACGUCUAACCUCAGGGGCCUUCCUGAGUAGGGAAAGAUCAAACAAAGUGAAUAAAGUGCAGAACAGCCUCCUGCUUGCUGCUCAGCAGAUCCAUUCCAUCACCUUUUGGGUCCAGUGCUUGAAAUCUCCUGUGGGAAACCACUGCUUCCCUGUUCUUGGGAAUCUGGUUUGGCUUAAUCGGAUCAAUGUGUAUUUCACCUUCCUGCCCCAUACCAAAAUGAUUGGCUUGGGGAUGGUCAUACAACCCAGUCAUAGCCAACGAAACACAGGAGGACACUUCUUGGUAACUUGUGGCAAAAAGAAGGUUCCUCUCUCUUCCUUGGGAGCCACCAGUAUGAGGAUGUGAGGUCUAGACCCACUGCUGCAGCCAUUUGUGAUCACGGGGGAAGAUUCUAGAAGUGCUAAAGAUUGUUGGGGAGCACAGAGUGGUGCCCGAGGUUGAAGCCAACACCACAGAACACGGAGCCGAGAGAGGGAGAGAACCGAGUCUUUGGGAUGGCACAAAAAACCCCUGGCUCGAACCCUACCCGAAGCCUGACCUUUUGCUAGGCCUUUCGGUGGCCUCAGCCAAUUAAACAAUCUUUAUUAUAUAACCCCGUGUAAGUAGGGAUCUCUGAGUCUUGCACCAUAAAGAACCGAUUUGAUGCAAACCUUAGAAUAGGUACCUGACAGUUCCAAGGGCCUCCUCUGCGCCCCGGGGCCUCUAGGAGGAAGUGAGCCUGUUCCAGAACCCAAAUAAAAGGUCUCACUUCCCACUUCUCUAUUUCAGGGUUUCCAUGCCUCCCGUCUCCAUAGCGCUGUGACUCUCUUGGAGAGGCGGAGGAACCAGAGAAGGAGAAUGGGGCCUGUUUCCAGGCUGCGCUGCCACGCUGAAUGGCUGGGGAGGCUGGGGGGCUGGUGGGAGAGGCGGCUCCACGCUUGACAUUUCAGGAUAGAGAUAACAGGGUAAAAAUAAACCCCCAAGCGCCUGUAGCCGAGCUCUCGCUUCUCUCCUUCACAGUUCUCAUCUCUCUUGGCUUUGGGGCCAGAAAGGUUCCUUUCAGGUCACGCUGGGCCUGUCUCUCCACAGCUCUGGGGUGGGGGCGAGUACAGGGAGUCAGUUUACGCCAGUCCACACCUGCAAGGCCACCUCCGGGAAGUCCAGGGAUUCCCUCCAUCCUGAAGCCCCCCUUUCGAUGUUUGCAAAUAUUAAUCCUUGACAUCUUUGUCCUCAUCUGAUACUCGGGUUGCUGGGUCACAUGAGCAAGGCCAGGAGCCGGGGUCUCCAUUUCCCAAGAGUCAAGAAGGGCUCGUCGGGAGCCCCACAGCCAAUGAGUACUGAUGGAUGCUGAUGGAAUCCCAGGGCCCUCUCUGCCUUUCUGUCCCAACCAGAGGUGCAAAGAGCUGGAGCCCUUUCUGCAGGCCUGUGUGCACCCCAUGACUGCCGGGGUUGGGGGCAGAUGGAGGCAUUCGUGCCACCUGCUCCAGACACGGCUGGGACGAUACGGCGCUGAGUGGCAAGCCUUGGUUCUGCCCUGAAGGUUCACAGAGACCCCCGGACCUCAGUCUUCUCAUCUGUAAAAUGGUGCCGAAAGCGGACGGCCGUGUAGGACUGUUCCCCGGAUGAAAUAAGCCGUUUCGUGCAACACACUCAGCCUGUGGCUACUACUUGUUCCUCUGAACUUCGGAGCUUUCAUAACUUUUCCUGUGCCCAUGUUUGCGUAGGGUGACGAUGCCACUCACCUACGUGGGUACGGCAAACCCCUUGGGUUCUUGCUCUCCCAGCGGCCAAGGAUUUGCACUGAACCAUUGCAUCAGUUAAGACUCGUGGUUGCAAGUGACCGAAGCAUUGAUCCUUACUAGAUUACAUGAAAGGGGAAUUCGUUGGCUCCGUGGGGAGCUCUAAAGGCGGCCAAGGGUAGAGGGCUGGCUUCAGGCACCGCUGGAUCCAGGGAUGGAACUGAUACCAUCAGGAUCGGGUUUCUCUCUCUCUUCAUUUCUCACCGCCCCCCUUCCCUCAUUGUUGGCUCCUUCCCUGUGGUGGCAGAAAUGGCUCUAGUCUCAUCUUCUCAGGAUCAAGGCCAGUGGGAAAGAGCCAGCCAGCCCCAGAAUUCCCAGCAAGAGUCUCCAUGCAUCUCUCUGCCCUUCCCGGAGCCCAUCCAUCGCUGUGGCCAGAAGAAUGGGAUGCCCAGGGGAAGCCAGGCUCAGAUGGCAUGCCAGCCCUAAAGCCACCGGGUAGGUCUGCUCUGCUCAAACCCCAGAUCCAAGAGGACAGAUUGGUGGUUGUCCAGAGGGAAAUCAGGUAUGGCAGCCACCCACACUCUAUGGCCGUGUGUCCCCAAGUGGACCUUGAGGAGCUGACUUCUCGAAUCUCAAGAAACAGAAUGGGCUACGAGUGGGUGCCAAGCCAGGCUGAGUGGCUCCGAAAAAAAUUAAAAACUCCCAUCUGAGCCUCCUUGGGGGCCAGCUGCUGACCAACUCGACCAGCUGACCUUGAACGGGAUCCUUCCCUCAACUUGACCCACAGCCUGCCAGGGGGAAAGCUGGCCUCCUGGAUCGAGGGGCUGACAGGCUGGAGACUUUUCCAAAGCGUUUGUCAUUCGGCAGGGUCCAGCAACCACUUUGAUUAUUAGUUACUAAUUAUUUGUCUUUCCUGUAAAAAGGAACCAGCCUUUAGUGCAAAGUCCCCCUCCCCCACCACCCCCAGGGCUCACAAAAAAAUAAUCACAAUGGGGGCGCCUUGGGUGGCGCAGUCUGCUAAGGGUCAGACUUCAACUCAGGUCAUGGUCUGGUGGUUUGUGGGUUCCAGCCCAGCAUCGGGACCUGUGCUGACAGCUCAGAGCCUGGAGCCUGCUUCGGAUUCUGUGUCUCCCUCUCUCUCUGCCCCUGCUCCGUUAGAGCUCGCUCGUGCUCUCUCUCUCUCUCUCAAAAAUAAAUAAACCUUAAAAAAAUUUUUCUUUAAAUAAUCACAACGAAAAGCAGCCCUAGUAAAUUGCAGGUAGUCGCUCUUACUUGUUCUCAGCCUGGGGAUUGCCGUUUGCCCCAGUCAGAAGGAAGGUUAGCAAGUUUCCCGGAAUGUAAGGACAGACCCAGCCCCAGCUUAAGACUUGAUGGACUCAAGACAAGUAACACCAAUUAGAAAGGGAGUAACUUCCCACCAGGCCAGUCGGGGUGUUUAGCGCUAGCGAACUGCCUUUUGCAUUUGUUGUCUGCACCAUCUAGAGCCCUGUCACGUGCCGCAAGCCGGUGGCGUGUGGGUCCCACACUUCGCCUGCGAGAACACGGUUCAUGCAGUUAAACCCUGCGACCACAAAGACACCCUAGCCGCUCGCUUCCCUCUCGCCUGUCCUCUCCAAGCCUGCCGCAGAGAUGGAAAAGAAACGGAGAAAGACUCCUUUUUAAAUAAUUAUGGUCAUUAUGUAUGCAUUUCCAGGGGGCGAUUCUGGGAAUUAUUCCUAAAAGGCUGCAAAGAAUUUCUUCUUUUGAUCUCGAUUCUGAGCCGGAGAAAACCAAAUUAAAAAAGCAAAGCAACUGAGAAU